rnacentral:rRNA from 3 species
CAUGUCUUUAUGUUUAUGAUUUUAAGUCUGGUCUGCUCAAUGAUUUUUUAAAUAGCUGCAGUAUUUUGACUGUGCAAAGGUAGCAAAAUCAAUAGUUUUUUAAUUGAAAGCUUGUAUGAAUGGUUUGACGAGGAUCUAUCUGUUUUAAAUUUUUUUUUUGAAUUUUACUUUUUAGUUAGAAGGCUUAAAUUUAGGUAUGGGACGAGAAGACCCUUUAGAAUUUUAUAUUAUUUAUUUAUAUAUGAUUUGGUAUUUUUAUGUGUAUUUUAUUUUUAUUUGGUUGGGGAGAUUAUUAAAUUUAAAAAACUUUUAUUUUUUUUUCAUUGAUUUUUGUUUUUUUGAUCCAAUGUUUUUGAUUAUUAGUUUAAAUUACCUAAGGGAUAACAGCGUUAUUUGCUUUAGGAGUUCUUAUUUUAAGGUAAGUUUGCGACCUCGAUGUUGGAUUAAAUUUUAUCUAGGGAGGAGGAUUUCUAGUUCUAAGUCUGUUCGACUUUUAAAAUUUUACAUGAUCUGAGU